GAUGAACGCUAGCUACAGGCUUAACACAUGCAAGUCGAGGGGCAGCACAGAGAUAGCUUGCUAUCUUGGGUGGCGACCGGCGCACGGGUGAGUAACGCGUAUCCAACCUGCCCAUUACUCUGGGAUAGCCUUGCGAAAGUAAGAUUAAUACCGGAUGUUGUUAAAAACCCGCAUGAGUUUUUAACCAAAGAUUUAUUGGUAAUGGAUGGGGAUGCGUGACAUUAGGUAGUUGGUGAGGUAACGGCUCACCAAGCCUACGAUGUCUAGGGGUUCUGAGAGGAAGGUCCCCCACACUGGAACUGAGACACGGUCCAGACUCCUACGGGAGGCAGCAGUGAGGAAUAUUGGUCAAUGGACGAGAGUCUGAACCAGCCAAGUAGCGUGCAGGAUGACGGCCCUCUGGGUUGUAAACUGCUUUUAGUUGGGAAUAAAAAGAGGGACGUGUCCCUAAUUGUAUGUACCAUCAGAAAAAGGACCGGCUAAUUCCGAGCCAGCCGCCGCGGUAAGAC
rnacentral:rRNA from 1 species